rnacentral:tRNA from 1 species
AUAUAAGUGUUUACGUGAGAUUGUGGUUCUCAAAAAGUCUUUAUUUU